rnacentral:rRNA from 1 species
AAACCUGAUAUGACUUAGUGGCGGACGGGUGAGUAACGCGUGGGUAACCUGCCUCAUACAGGGGGAUAACAGUUAGAAAUGACUGCUAAUACCGCAUAAGCGCACAGCAUCGCAUGAUGCCGUGUGAAAAACUCCGGUGGUAUGAGAUGGACCCGCGUCUGAUUAGCUGGUUGGUGAGGUAACGGCCCACCAAGGCGACGAUCAGUAGCCGGCCUGAGAGGGUGAACGGCCACAUUGGGACUGAGACACGGCCCAGACUCC